GGAUGUAGCUCAGUGGAAGAGCAUUUACUAGAAUGCAUGAGACCCUGGGUUCAAUCCCCAGCAGUGCA
rnacentral:tRNA from 1 species